ensembl:snRNA U6 U6 spliceosomal RNA
GUGUUCAUUUGGGCAGCACAUAUACUAAAAUUGGAACGAUACAGAGAUUAGCAUGGCCCCUGUGCAAGGAUGACAUGCAAAUUCGGGAAGCAUUCCAUAUUUUU